AGAGAGGUGUCUGGGCGUCUCUGCUUAGACUGCUGCCCCUGCAACCCGGCCCCGGAUAAGCGGAAGAGGAUGGCUGGAUGGAUGGUAGAUGGAUGUUUGGUGAGCCACAGACGGUGAAGACCAGCUGGCUGGCAGGAUCAGUUACACAGCUCAUUUGGAAAGAGAUGACAUCAGAUGUUUUGGCAAAACUGAGGCAUCACUUCUGUCUGAGGAAUGGAUGGUGUCCCGCUGAUUUAUUCUCAUAAAGUCAGCUUCUCCUGCAGAGCAGAACACAUCAUACUGUGUAAAGGUAAACUAUCAAAAUCUUUUUUCAAUUUCAGCGCUCGUGCUUUAAUAACCGCGCUGACUGCAUGCUUUAGCCGACUGACUUAAAUAACCUACUCUUCAAAUUACAUCUGACCUUCUCCCAGCGCAAGUUAUAUGUUUCAUUUUGCUUUCCCAGUGUCCAGGCUGCUGUUGAUUUAAGCUAAUAGGAUUACCCCAUCGAGGACACCAUCACAUCUGGU
ensembl:lncRNA